rnacentral:rRNA from 1 species
GUGUCAGCCGCCGCGGUAAAACGUAGGGGGCAAGCGUUGUCCGGAUUCACUGGGCGUAAAGGGUCCGUAGGCGGCCUGCUAAGUCGGACGUGAAAGACCCUAGCUCAACUGGGGAAUUGCGUCCGAAACUGGUGGGCUAGAGCCCAGGAGAGGAAGGUGGAAUUCCCGGUGUAGCGGUGAAAUGCGCAGAUAUCGGGAGGAACACCAGUGGGGAAGCCGGCCUUCUGGCCUGUGGCUGACGCUGAGGGACGAAAGCCAGGGGAGCGAACCGGAUUAGAUACCCGGGUAGUCCUGGCCGUAAACGAUGGAUGCUAGAUGUGGGCGGGGAGACCCGUCCGUGUCGCAAGCUAACGCGUUAAGCAUCCCGCCUGGGGAGUACGGCCGCAAGGUUGAAACUCAAAGAAUUGGCGGGG